rnacentral:pre_miRNA from 1 species
UCCUGCUGCUGCUGCUGCUGCUGCUGGUGGUGUUGCUGGUGAAGGUGGUGAUGAGAUCGAUUGGCAGUACCCGUAUCAGCUGCACCACCAGCAGCAUCAUCAUCAUCA